rnacentral:rRNA from 1 species
UUUCCAAGCACCAUGGAGGAAAAGAGCCAUGGCGCGUUGUAGACUAAAGGGGAGUGAUCUUGGGUGGGCCAGGUAUAUAUCCGUUGGAAAACGGUAUCACAGAGGGUGAGAAUCCCGUCUUUGACCUGGAAAACCAAAGAAGGCAUCCAUGUACGUUGCGCUUCCGACGAGUCGGGUUGUUUGGGAAUUGCAGCCCAAAACGGGUGGUAAAUUUCAUCUAAGGCUAAAUAUGGGCACGAGACCGAUAGCGAACAAGUACCAUGAGGGAAAGGUGAAAAGAACUUUGAAAAGAGAGUCAAAAAGUACGUGAAACCGUUAAAGGGGAAACGAAUGGUGCUACCGANUUGCGGCSGGAACAUUCACCUUGGAAGGCCUUGAAGGCCGAANUUUCCUUGGCAACGGAAGGACCCGGCAACUUGCAAUCUUGCUUGAACAGGCUUGCUUCCCUUUUUCCAGGGCCAAGGCUGGUGCACUUGGCCCGGCAACAGGGCAGGCCAGCAUCGGUUCAGCCUGGCGCCACAANNNNNNNGGGAAGGUAGUUGCGGCNNNNGGCGUCCGAAUGUUAUAACCGGGGGGACCGAAUGACCCGGGAGGGACCGAGGAGCACCAGCGCGCAAAGUUUCGGAGAGCCACCGCUCUUGCUGCGGUGUGGAAUGACUGUUCCGGGGCCCUGCAAGGCCGUCGGGCANNGUUCCAUGCCGGCAAUCCGGAGGCAAGCCCCCUCYUCCAAAAGGGGGGGGGGGAACCAUGUUGUCACCGGAGACGUGCAGCUUGACACGGGGCGAACCCAGACCACGCGCUUGUGAUGCUGGCGCAAAAUGGCCUCAUCCGACCCGUCUUGAAACACGGACCAAGGAGUCUAACAUAUGCGCGAGUCUUUGGGUGGCAAGCCCGCAGGCGGAAUGAAAGUGAAGGCACGCAUGGCGUCGCUGAGGUGAGAAGCGAGAGAGUGGGGGGGGGUGGUUUCACACCCUUCUUCUGUCGAGCCGCAUCAUCGACCGAUCCGGAUGGCACUGAUCCUGAAAGAUUUGAGUAAGAGCGUAUCUGUUGGGACCCGAAAGAUGGUGAACUAUGCCUGAACAGGGUGAAGUCUGAGGAAACUCAGAUGGAAGCUCGUAGCGAUUCUGACGUGCAAAUCGAUCGUCUGAUUUGGGUAUAGGGGCGAAAGACUAAUCGAACCAUCUAGUAGCUGGUUCCCUCCGAAGUUUCCCUCAGGAUAGCUGGAACUAUACAGACAAGCAGUUUUAUCAGGUAAAGCGAAUGAUUAGAGGGCUUGGGGUUGAAAUAACCUCAACCUAUUCUCAAACUUUAAAUAGGUAAGAAGCCUGGCUUGCUUUGGUGAAGCCAGGCAGAAACAAGACACAACUGAAUGCAAGUUCCAAGUGGGCCAUUUUUGGUAAGCAGAACUGGCGAUGCGGGAUGAACCGAACGCAAAGUUAAAGUGCCAAAGUUCACGCUCACCUAGAACCCAGAAAAGGUGUUGGCUGAUGAAGACAGCAGGACGGUGGCCAUGGAAGUCGGAACCCGCUAAGGAGUGUGUAACAACUCACCUGCCGAAUCAGCCAGCCCUGAAAAUGGAUGGCGCUCAAGCGUGACACUUAUACUUUGCCGUUGCCCCUUUUAUUAUAUUGAAAGUGGUGGGGCAACGAGUAGGAGGGCGUGGAGGUCAGUGAAGCAGCCUAGGGCGUGAGCCUGGGUGAAACGGCC